rnacentral:misc_RNA from 1 species
GAUGAAGAACGCAGCGAAAUGCGAUAAGUAAUGCGAAUUGCAGAAUUUCCGUGAGUCAUCGAAUCUUUGAACGCACAUUGCGCCCCCUGGUAUUCCGGGGGGCAUGCCUGUCCGAGCGUCAUUACAACCCUCAAGCUCAGCUUGGUGUUGGGCCCCGCCGCCCCGGCGGGCCCUAAAGUCAGUGGCGGUGCCGUCCGGCUCCGAGCGUAGUAAUUCUUCUCGCUCUGGAGGUCCGGUCGUGUGCUCGCCAGCAACCCCCAAUUUUUUUCAGGUUGACCUCGGAUCAGGUAGGGAUACCCGCUGAACUUAAGCAUAUAAUAAGCGGAGGA